rnacentral:rRNA from 1 species
AUUGAACGCUAGCGGGAUGCUUUACACAUGCAAGUCGAACGGCAGCACGAAAAGAGCUUGCUCUUUUUGGUGGCGAGUGGCGAACGGGUGAGUAAUGUAUCGGAACGUACCCAGUAGCGGGGGAUAACUACGCGAAAGCGUGGCUAAUACCGCAUACGCCCUACGGGGGAAAGGGGGGGAUCGCAAGACCUCUCACUAUUGGAGCGGCCGAUAUCGGAUUAGCUAGUUGGUGGGGUAAAGGCUCACCAAGGCAACGAUCCGUAGCUGGUUUGAGAGGACGACCAGCCACACUGGAACUGAGACACGGCCCAGACUCCUACGGGAGGCAGCAGUGGGGAAUUUUGGACAAUGGGGGAAACCCUGAUCCAGCCAUCCCGCGUGUGCGAUGAAGGCCUUCGGGUUGUAAAGCACUUUUGGCAGGGAAGAAACGGCGCUGACUAAUACUUGGCGUAACUGACGGUACCUGCAGAAUAAGCACCGGCUAACUACGUG